rnacentral:rRNA from 1 species
UUGGAGGGCAAGUCUGGUGCCGAUCUUCUUCCACUGCUGCCGUGCUUGUUCGACGGUGCCGCCGGUAUAGACGCCCGACUCCAUGAUGUUCUUGACCCAGUCGUGCUGCGGGUCCGUCGGCAACAUCGCGGGGAAGAAGGGUGCGUAGAAAUUCUUGUAGAUGUCCACGUCCCAAUCGCGCAGCAUCUGAUUGAAUUUCUCUUCGGUCGCGGCGAUGUGGGACCACCGGCAGAUAUUCUGCUUCUGCCCCAGCGCGACCGUUCGUCCGGCCUUCUUGGCCUCCUCGACAUAGAUUUCCGCGUGCGAGACGAUCUUCUCGAAGCUCGAGAAAUACGUCGGCACGAACCCAUGUCGCGCACAGAACCUGACGGAAUCGUCGGUCCUGCUGGUCGCGACGAAGACCGGUGGAUGCGGAUCUUGAUAGGGCGCCGGGCACACGGACACGCGGCGGACGGCAUGCGUUACCGGAUCGAUUUCGCCGGGGCCACCGGCUUCGCUCGCGAUCUUCCAGGCAGGGUAGCUCUGCACACCUGUCUCCAAUGGGUACGGCGCCUUACGGGAAAC